UAGUUAGAUGACUGAAAAGAAAGUGUAGAUCUUUUAAAUCUAAUAUAGUAUUUAACGCCUACUUCUAACUAA
rnacentral:tRNA from 1 species